UGCGUAGGCGGAAUAAUAAGUCAGAGGCGAAAGCCCACCGCUUAACGGUGGAACUGCCUUUGAUACUGUCAGACUUGAAUAAGGUUGAGGUCGGCGGAAUGUGUCAUGUAGCGGUGAAAUGCAUAGAUAUGACAUAGAACACCAAUUGCGAAGGCAGCUGGCUAGACCUUUAUUGACACUGAGGCACGAAAGCGUGGGGAGCGAACAGGAUUAGAUACCCUGGUAGUCC
rnacentral:rRNA from 1 species